UCAACACACACUAACACUGUACUGGAGCAGGCGGAGGGAGACUAGGGGUCUUAGCACACCUCUGCUGUCGCUUGGCUUCCCGGGGCUGGAGGCUAGGAGGCUAAGCCGUUUGUGGCAGUUAAGGUGAUUUUGAGCAGUUUUUACAACAAGAUCUAAAUGUUUGCUGCUGCAUAAAUGAGACAAAUAAAGAUUUUUUUCUGUUUAUUUAAAACUGAAAUCGUAUUAAAGCUACUGCGACGUCUCUACAAUCUAAAGAGACGUGUCUAACUGAAGCCCUCUGGGUGAACAGGAUAAAUAUGUAAUCAUGAGCUCUGGUAUUUAAGGCAGCCAUCUUUUCCUGCUCCACCUUCUAAUGAGCAGAAACCGCCUUCAGAGACUCCAGUCGCUUCCUGAGAUUCAACAUGAAGCCUGAACUCCUCUUCUGCAUCGUCACCGUCAGCUGGAUUAAAGGAGUUACUCUCAGCAAAGACGAGCAGGUCUUUCAGUCUCCAGCUGAACUUUUGGGUCAACCGGGCGAUGAAGUCAGCCUGACCCUGGCUCAUGAGAUCCCGUCCUACGACACGGUUCUCUGGUACCAGCGCUCACCAGGAGACACGGCCCUAAAGCUCGUCGCCUACAUUUAUUAUAAAAUCCCAAAAGUUGAGCCUCCCUUUGAAAGCCACUUCAAAGUGAGCGGAGAUGGAGAGAAGAAAGCUCAUCUUCACAUCCUCAACCUGACUCACUCAGAAGACAGUGGAGACUAUUUUGGAGCAGCAAGUCUGCACGGUGAUAAAGAAAGUGACUUUCUAAUACAAAAACCUCAGUAAUAAGAUAGCAGGAAACCUCUGAAACCAAGCACUGCUGCAGUAGAAAACAUUUAAAUGUGCUCAAACACAUUUAUGGGAAAAGAGGAA